AGGGGGAUAACUACUGGAAACGGUAGCUAAUACCGCAUGACCUCGCAAGAGCAAAGUGGGGGACCUUCGGGCCUCACGCCAUCGGAUGUGCCCAGAUGGGAUUAGCUAGUAGGUGAGGUAAUGGCUCACCUAGGCGACGAUCCCUAGCUGGUCUGAGAGGAUGACCAGCCACACUGGAACUGAGACACGGUCCAGACUCCUACGGGAGGCAGCAGUGGGGAAUAUUGCACAAUGGGCGCAAGCCUGAUGCAGCCAUGCCGCGUGUGUGAAGAAGGCCUUAGGGUUGUAAAGCACUUUCAGCGAGGAGGAAGGGUUCAGUGUUAAUAGCACUGANCAUUGACGUUACUCGCAGAAGAAGCACCGGCUAACUCCGUGCCAGCAGCCGCGGUAAUACGGAGGGUGCAAGCGUUAAUCGGAAUUACUGGGCGUAAAGCGCACGCAGGCGGUUUGUUAAGUCAGAUGUGAAAUCCCCGAGCUUAACUUGGGAACUGCAUUUGAAACUGGCAAGCUAGAGUCUUGUAGAGGGGGGUAGAAUUCCAGGUGUAGCGGUGAAAUGCGUA
rnacentral:rRNA from 4 species